GGAUGGGUGGCCGAGUGGUUGAAGGCACCGGUCUUGAAAACCGGCAGACGUGCAAGCGUCUCGUGGGUUCGAAUCCCACCCCAUCCGCCA
rnacentral:tRNA from 1 species